CAAUACUCCCGCCGGCGACCGGCGCACGGGUGAGUAACACGUAUGCAACCUGCCCCUGUCAGGGGGACAACCCGCCGAAAGGCGGGCUAAACCCGCGUACAUGCCACCGGGGCAUCCCGGAGGCAGGAAAGGCUUCGGCCGGACAGGGAUGGGCAUGCGGCGCAUUAGGCAGUAGGCGGGGUAACGGCCCACCUAACCGACGAUGCGUAGGGGUUCUGAGAGGAAGGUCCCCCACACUGGUACUGAGACACGGACCAGACUCCUACGGGAGGCAGCAG
rnacentral:rRNA from 1 species